rnacentral:rRNA from 1 species
AUGAACGCUGGCGGCGUGCCUAAUACAUGCAAGUCGCGCGAACAGAUGAGGAGCUUGCUCCUCUGACGUUAGCGGCGGACGGGUGAGUAACACGUGGAUAACCUACCUAUAAGACUGGGAUAACUUCGGGAAACCGGAGCUAAUACCGGAUAAUAUAUUGAACCGCAUGGUUCAAUAGUGAAAGACGGUUUUGCUGUCACUUAUAGAUGGAUCCGCGCCGCAUUAGCUAGUUGGUAAGGUAACGGCUUACCAAGGCAACGAUGCGUAGCCGACCUGAGAGGGUGGUGGGAGGAAGGGGGACUGAGACACGGGGCAGAUAACGACGGGAGGCAGCAGGAGGGAAGAUGCGGCAAGGGAGGCAAGUCUGAGAGAGCAACGAUGAGGGAAUAAAAAAGGUGUUAGGAACUUAAAACGCUGUUGUGAGAGAAAAACAAGAAUGUAAGGAAAUGAACGUGCCAGGACGGUAGCUAAGCAGAAGGACACGGCGAGCGAAGGG